UAGGGAAUCUUCCGCAAUGGGCGAAAGCCUGACGGAGCAACGCCGCGUGAGUGAUGAAGGUCUUCGGAUCGUAAAACUCUGUUAUUAGGGAAGAACAAAUGUGUAAGUAACUAUGCACAUCUUGACGGUACCUAAUCAGAAAGCCACGGCUAACUACGUG
rnacentral:rRNA from 1 species